CUCCCAGAUACUAAAGAGCAACAGCAUGGAGUAGAAUAUUGGUGUCCUGAAUUGUCAGCCAGUUCUUCUAGUCCAUUCCAGUGUCGUUGUUCAAAAAAUUUUUUUCUAAUUAAAAUUGGGGACAGUGGUACCUUUAUUGGCCAGGUGCCUACUUGGAGAUAAAGUGCAAAGAAUGAGUGGCCCCGAUGCCAGACCAGCCAUGCUUCAACAGCUUGUGGGUAAUGGAGAACUCGCCCAGGUAGUGGCUUGAUCUCUGCCUAGCUGAAGGUCUUUCCAUUGUAGACGCCCACCUUGCUGCCUACCAUCAGGGGCAGGAUGAUCACAUCCCGAAGGUGUGUGUCUUCACUACCACUGGCUUCUUUCUCCCUGGGCGGUGCCCCCUUCUUGGCCUUGCACAGGGGCUUCAGCCUCAGGCCACAGUUUGUCCCGCCACUGCACACUGUAGUGCUGUAUCAGCUCUUUGUAGGACUCGUCCAGCUGCUGGUCCAGGUCCACACCACGGUAGGCAAACUUGUGGAAAGUUCGCUGUUUCUGCUCUGCUUCCGCCAUCUUGUCAGCUCUUAGGAAAAGUCCAGUGUCCUUUUGAGAAAGCUCCUUGUAGAGUUAAAAUUCUCUGCAAAGGUAGGGUGGUGUUUUGGGUGUUGGUUCUAACAGGAUUCAGACAGGAUCUAAAAAUGACUUGGUAGAUCUUGGGCUUUUGUAGACGUCAAACUCAUUGAUGCUGGGGAUUCCCCCCUCCCUCCCCGGAGCCCUGUGACGCUUGGAAUUGGUGGUCCCUUUGCCCAGGGUCUUGCUUUCUUCCGUGGUGAACCAGGAACAGAUGAUUAGGGGGAUGGACUGCCAGCAGGUCAGUUUCACUAACAGUUGGGGUGUGGUUAGAAGGUUUCCAUUAUUCUGUGGUCUGUUUCCUGUGCUAGGUGAGCCCCAGGUGUGUCCCAGAGGGAACUGGGUGACUUCUCUGGAGACUGUUUGCCAUGACACCCCAUCAAGGACCAGGGGAAUAAAGGGGGCGCCCUUCCCCAUGCCCCUCCCCUGGUCAGGUCCCCGAUGGCCUGGGUGAGGGCGGGCCGGCUGCUCUGACACCAUGGGGAGCUGCUGUGGCUGCCUGAGCAGAGACAGCGUCCCAGACAACCACCCCACCAAGUUCAAGGUGACGAACGUGGAUGACGAGGGGGUGGAGCUGGGCGUGGGGGUGAU
rnacentral:lncRNA from 1 species